rnacentral:rRNA from 1 species
CCCACACCCGGGAAAUCCCCAUCCCCAAUAGUAUAUAAAAAAGGUUGCACAUAAAAAAAUCUUGGAGGAAAUUUUGGGGUAUUAGAUUUGGCACGCCUCUGGGAAGUACUGGUCUCAUUGGUUUCUCCUUUCUGAAGAACCGUAAUGUCAUUUAUUUGGUGUUGCGGGGAAUCUGGACUGUUACUUUGAAAAAAUUAGAGUGUUUAAAGCAAGCUCACGCUUGAAUACAUUAGCAUGGAAUAAUGAAAUAGGACGUUUGAUUUUAUUUUGUUGGUUUCUAGGAUUGACGUAAUGAUUAAUAGGGAUAGUUGGGGGCAUUAGUAUUCAAUUGUCAGAGGUGAAAUUCUUGGAUUUAUUGAAGACUAACUACUGCGAAAGCAUUUGCCAAGGAUGUUUUCAUUAAUCAAGAACGAAAGUUAGGGGAUCGAAGACGAUCAGAUACCGUCGUGGUCUUAACCAUAAACUAUGCCGACUAGGGAUCGGAUGAUGUAA